AUGAACGUGCUUGAAACAAUGCCAGAGCGCCAUAUACCGCUCGAACAAGUAAAAUUAUGUGUUGAGAUAGGGAUACAAUGCAUGAACGAUGAUCCAAAGAAUAGGCCUACUACAUGGGAUAUCAUCCUCAUGCUCUUUGAUGAAGAAGAAAUUUCAAACUGGUCUGCCAGAGGUGUCAUAAGGAGUCCAUCUAUAGCACAGGAAAUGCCUCUCAUCGCCAAGUUGGAGUAUGAUCUGAAGUUCAUGAAUUUGUAUGGACGACCAUUCUUACCGAAGCGAGUUAGUGCACUCAAGAGAAUCGAAGAGACAAGCACUGAGACAAUAAACCUUGGGUUUACCGAUAGUAAGAUCCUGGAUAUCCACCCUCUCAAGCUCCAGUUUCCCUUUGAGGCUGGCAAGCGAACCUGCCCGUUGAACCUAACCAGCAAGGCAAAUCAAUAUGUUCAAUUUUGUAUUAUACCAGCGUUCAAGGAUAUGUAUUUGUGUGAAGAGAAUGAACUUGUGUAUCCAAUGUCCACUUGUGGCGUUAGCAUCACAUUGGCGGAGGAACAACAACGAUAA
rnacentral:rRNA from 1 species